GUCCACGCCGUAAACGAUGUCUGCUAGCCGUCGGGGUCCUUGAGGCCUCGGUGGCGCAGCUAACGCGAUAAGCAGACCGCCUGGGGAGUACGGCCGCAAUGUUAAAACUCAAAUGAAUUGACGGGGGCCCGCACAAGCGGUGGAGCAUGUGGUUUAAUUCGAUGCAACGCGAAGAACCUUACCAGGUCUUGACAUCCAGCGAACUGCCGAGAGAUCGGCGUGUGCCUUCGGGAGCGCUGAGACAGGUGCUGCAUGGCUGUCGU
rnacentral:rRNA from 1 species